GCUUAACCGAAGAAGUGCAUCGGAAACUGGGUGACUUGAGUGCAGAAGAGGACAGUGGAACUCCAUGUGUAGCGGUGGAAUGCGUAGAUAUAUGGAAGAACACCAGUGGCGAAGGCGGCUGUCUGGUCUGCAACUGACGCUGAGGCUCGAAAGCAUGGGUAGCGAACAGGAUUAGAUACCCUGGUAGUCCAUGCCGUAAACGAUGAGUGCUAGGUGUUGGAGGGUUUCCGCCCUUCAGUGCCGGAGCUAACGCAUUAAGCACUCCGCCUGGGGAGUACGACCGCAAGGUUGAAACUCAAAGGAAUUGACGGGGGCCCGCACAAGCGGUGGAGCAUGUGGUUUAAUUCGAAGCUACGCGAAGAACCUUACCAGGUCUUGACAUCUUGCGCUAACCUAAGAGAUUAGGCGUUCCCUUCGGGGACGCAAUGACAGGUGGUGCAUGGUCGUCGUCAGCUCGUGUCGUAAGAUGUUGGGUUAAGUCCCGCAACGAGCGCAACCCUUGUUACUAGUUGCCAGCAUUAAGUUGGGCACUCUAGUGAGACUGCCGGUGACAAACCGGAGGAAGGUGGGGACGACGUCAGAUCAUCAUGCCCCUUAUGACCUGGGCUACACACGUGCUACAAUGGACGGUACAACG
rnacentral:rRNA from 1 species